UGGCGGACGGGUGAGUAAUGUCUGGGAAACUGCCCGAUGGAGGGGGAUAACUACUGGAAACGGUAGCUAAUACCGCAUAGCGUCGCAAGACCAAAGAGGGGGACCUUCGGGCCUCUUGCCAUCGGAUGUGCCCAGAUGGGAUUAGCUAGUAGGUGGGGUAACGGCUCACCUAGGCGACGAUCCCUAGCUGGUCUGAGAGGAUGACCAGCCACACUGGAACUGAGACACGGUCCAG
rnacentral:rRNA from 1 species